rnacentral:rRNA from 1 species
GGUGACGAGCGGCGGACGGGUGAGUAACGCGUAGGAAUCUGCCUGGUAGUGGGGGACAACCUGUGGAAACGCAGGCUAAUACCGCAUACGCCCUAAGGGGGAAAGAAGGGGACUCUUCGGAGCCUUUUGCUAUCAGAUGAGCCUGCGUGAGAUUAGCUGGUUGGUAGGGUAAAGGCCUACCAAGGCGACGAUCUCUAGCUGGUCUGAGAGGAUGACCAGCCACACUGGGACUGAGACACGGCCCAGACUCC